rnacentral:rRNA from 1 species
AUUGAACGCUGGCGGCAGGCCUAACACAUGCAAGUCGAACGAGUGGCGGACGGGUGAGUAAUGUCUGGGAAACUGCCUGAUGGAGGGGGAUCACUACUGGAAACGGUAGCUAAUUCCGCAUACCAUCAGUUUAGGCCAGAUGGGAUUGUCUUGUUGGUGUGGGAACGGCUCACCAAGGCGACGAUCCCUAGCUGGUCUGAGAGGAUGACCAGCAACACUGGAACUGAGACACGGCCCAGACUCCUACGGGAGGUAGCAGUGGGGAAUAUUGCACAAUGGGCUCAAGCCUGAGGCAGCCAGGCCGCGGGUAGGUAGAAGGCCUUCGGGUUGUAAAGUACUUUCAGCGGGGAGGCGUUACCCGCAGAAGAAGCACCGGCUAACUCCGUGCCAGCAGCCGCGGUAAUAC